UACAGAGGUCUCAAGCGUUGUUCGGAUUCAUUGGGCGUAAAGGGUGCGUAGGCGGCGCGGUAAGUCGGGUGUGAAAUCUCGGAGCUUAACUCCGAAACUGCAUUCGAUACUGCCGUGCUUUGAGGGACUGGAGAGGAGACUGGAAUUUACGGGUGUAAGCGGUGAAAUGCGUAGAUAUGUAAGGAAGACCAGUGGCGAAGGCGGGUCGCUGACAGUUCCUGACGCUGAGGCACGAAGGUCAGGGGGAGCAAAACGGGG
rnacentral:rRNA from 1 species